rnacentral:lncRNA from 1 species
CUCAUAUCGCAUAUCGCAAUUUUUGCUCAUAUCGUGCAGCCCUACCUAUAGUAUUUUAUGACUGAUUACAUGUUCUAAUACAACUACCAGUAUGAAGCUCAUUAAGACAACUAUUGUUUCAAUAUUGAGCUAUAUAAAAAAAAUAGAACUGAAACCCAAUGGAAUUCAAAUUGUUGCACUGGUAACAUUGGCUUGGGGUUGCGAGGGGCUGUGAGCUAGCUGGAAAGAGUGUUGGCAAAGGAAUGAUAGGAAAUGAAGACAGGCUUACUCUGCCAACAGUCCUGCCCACAACUCAAAGACAAAAUUAUAAUAAACUCUUCCCGUUCUCCAGAAAACAAUGGCCUAGAACACAAUUUUUUUUAAUUCAAACAUUCAGUGAGAAAUAUGUGCCACUGACAGCAUAACUCCAUGCCAUCAAAACUUUGAUGGAGUAUCUCUUAGCAUAAUUUUUCAAUUAACCACUUACUGGUUAUAGUUUUAGCAUAAGCAUAAAAAAAAUCAAAAUCCUCUAUGUUUUUUAAACAUUCUCAAAAUCAAAAAGGGCAAACCAUUUUACACUGGCAACAUCCUCUAAAACUGCUCUUGUGAUUAAACAUAACAGAGCAGAUAGAGAAUUGUCUGCUUAAUUAGGUCCGUCAAUAAUGGUUUGCUUGAUAGGAUCUUUCAUGCCCAACAGCCCACAGUACAGUCAAACACAGAGACACAUGAUACGUUCAAAGAUUUUCAUCAGAGCAGCAGACAUGUCAGCUACAUAAUGAGAAUUUAAAUGAGUGUUUUGUAAUGAUCGAACUUCAUUAAUUAUAAAAGACACUCUGUUUGGAGCUCCUCUUUAUUUAUAAAAAUGAAACAGUCAGUAACUUUCUGGUGGACAAAAUUAAUAGCAGACUAUCAUCUUAGUGUAGAUCAUCAGUCUUGGUGUAAUCAAAAUUUUUUGUGAUGUUAAUUUUUUGUAAUAAAAGAUGCUUAUGCAAUUUGUUUUUAAAUUUUCAAACACGUCAUUUUCAAAAUAGAAAAUAAUACUCAAAUGUGUAUCAUGCUCAUUGCUUUUCUUUUGUCUAAACAUGAGUCGCUCUGUAAAGUACUUUUCUGCCAGUUCCUUUGCAUUCAUUAGUGUCUCUGUAGGCUUGGUGCCCGACGGAUCAUGGCUUCACUUUGCAGAGGGAAAUUGGGCAGGUAUCCCGGGUUCCUGUGGCUCAUGUGGUUGCUGGGUCUAGGGACUCUGGUUGCUUGUUGCAUCUCUCUGUCUCUGGCUGAAGGGAAAAGGUUGCAUGUUUUAUUGUAAUAAAACUUCUUACAAAUUUGUCUGUAAAAAUGAAUAUUUAUAUAAAUUUGGGUGGAUUUAUUAGUUUUCCUACAUUUUUUUUACUUGUACUUGAGGAUAACUGAAAUUGGAAACUAAAAAGAUUCAGC